GAGACGAAACAGUGAUGUGGAGUAAAACUUAAUAAAAGCGACCUCAGUUCGGAUUGAAGGCUGAAAUUCGCCUUCAUGAAGUCGGAAUUGCUAGUAAUGGCAGGUCAGCAUACUGCCGUGAAUACGUUCCCGGGCCUUGUACACACCGCCCGUCACACCAUGAGAGUUGGAGAUACCCGAAGCCUAUGAGCUAACUUUUAGAGGCAGUAGUCGAAGGUAGAAUCAAUGAUUGGGGUGAAGUCGUAACAAGGUAAC
rnacentral:rRNA from 1 species